GCCUCAAGUCCAAUGAGAAAGUGGCUGGUUAUUCACAUCACUCCUACAGCAGUGGGCACAGCUUGCCUGUCAGGCCAGUACUGCAGGAUCCAGCAACAGACACUUGAAGUGAAACACACAAAUCUAAAACUUCAAAGCUCGGAUCCACAUAGGAGAGAGAGCGCCAGGAGAUGACCUUUCUGUGUCUACGGAUUCUCAGGAUCAAGAUAUAGAACUCUCAACUCCUUUUCCAGUACCCUGUUGGCCUGCAUCCUGCCAUGCUUCCUGACAUAAUGA